rnacentral:rRNA from 1 species
UCGAACGGUCUGCUGUUCACACCGAGAGUUUAGUGAUGGUGAGCUCUGACAGCGUCAAGCACGAACGAAAGAGGGUGCUUCACGCGUUAAAAAAGUGCCAACACUUAGCCUUGGGUGUUGAAUAGCAGAUAGUGGCGAACGGGUGAGUAACGCGUAGAUAACCUGCCUCUAAACUGGGGACAACACCGCGAAAGUGGUGCUAAUACCGAAUGUGGUAUCUUGAUCGCAUGAUCGAGAUAAGAAAGAUGGCCUCUGAAUAUGCUAUCGAUUAGAGAUGGGUCUGCGUCUGAUUAGCUAGUUGGUGAGGUAACGGCUCACCAAGGCUUCGAUCAGUAGCCGGUCUGAGAGGAUGAACGGCCACACUGGGACUGAGACACGGCCCAGACUCCUACGGGAGGCAGCAGUGGGGAAUCUUCCGCAAUGGACGAAAGUCUGACGGAGCAACGCCGCGUGAGUGAAGAAGGUUUUCGGACUGUAAAGCUCUGUCGUUUGGGACGAACGUGGAUAGAGUGAAUAAUUCUAUCUAAUGACGGUACCAAAGGAGGAAGCCACGGCUAACUACGUGCCAGCAGCCGCGGUAAUACGUAGGUGGCAAGCGUUGUCCGGAAUUAUUGGGCGUAAAGGGCGUGUAGGUGGAUCUUUAAGUCGUGUGUCUAAUGCGGGGCUCAACCCCGUAUAGGCGC